GUCUUGAUGGCGCAGUUGGCUAGCGCGUUGGUCUCAUAUUUAAAAAUAUGAUCUAGUCAUAGGCUAGGCUAUCCAGAGGUCGUGAGUUCGAGCCUCACUCAGGACA
rnacentral:tRNA from 1 species